GCACCUUCUACUGAAAAUAUUUUAAACAUGUCAAAAGUUGAUAUAGAUGGAUUUAAUAUCCAUAAAAAUUUUGUUUGUAAGGAAAUGGCAAUCGUGAACGUGCACACAGGCUACGCUGCCCGCUACGAGUUUGAAUUAGACGUCCAAUACACAGCGAUUUGAGCGAUGCUGACAGGAAAUCUGCAUGGUAUGUCUCGAGUUUUAUACACGGGAUUCCAUUCAAAAAUUUUUCCGGGCAAGAUAAUUAUAAACAAAAACACAUUGGAAUGUUAGUUAAACUUUUCAUUCGCGGUUUCAAGGAUCCCGUAAUCGCGUAUAAGGGGGGUCAUAUUGAGAGGGGUUUAUUGCGCGAAAUUGGCGUACGGCAUGUAAAUUUAGAAUCUUUUGGUUGCCCUAAAUUCGAAUCUUUAAUCGCGGACCCGAAGUAUGGGCCAAUAGACCCACCAUGCAGGCUUCAUUGUUGGACGUUUAAUACAACAUCGAAGCGGAAGGCACCACAAUACCACUGUGCCCUCAGUGAAGUGCGAAUCUUUCGCAAAUGGUACCUGCAAGAAAGAGAGAGAGAAAACGUAAGCCUGCGUGCACUCCUCAGCGAGGUGCGAAUCUUUCGCAAAUGGUACCUGCAAGAAAGAGAGAGAGAGAGAGAGAGAGAGAGAGAGAGAGAGAGAAGACGUAAGCCUGUGCGAAUCUUUUUUUGGUCGAGGUUACGUCCUCAGGGAAAAAAUUAUAACAACGUGUCGAUCGGUGCUGAUACGAUGGAUGAGAAGAGCAUCAUCCUGAAGAGGAGGAGGAGGAGGAGGCUUACGAUUGCCAUCAACGGUUCAGUAUUACUGUACCAUCAGCGAGGUGUGCGUCUUUCAGAAGUGGUUCAUGGAAGAAAGAGAGGAGAAAAAAAGGAAUGAUGGAUUAUCGAAGUGAGGAGGAUAGGCUCCGAAGCUUUGAAUUUUGGCCUAUCGAAUUUAUUUAGCCGGAGGAGCUUGCAGCCGCAGGAUUUUAUUAUCUGGGGCAGGACGAUUUUCUAGCAUGUUUUGCAUGCGACAUCGAACUACAUCGGUGGCAGUAUAACGACAAAACCUAUGUCGGCGAAGAUUGUGGCAACAUGCCGAUCGGUGCUGAUUCUACAACGAUAUCAGUACCACCAUCACCAAGAAGCUGCGGCGUGGACGAGUGCGGUAUCUACGAUUAUACCAUGGAUGAGAAGAGAGCGUCAUACUGAAGAGGAGGAGGAGGCUUGCGAUUGCCAUCAACGACGCAUCGGCGAAAGAAGAGGAAGAAGAAGAUUACUUUUAUAAAAAAGUUUUUCAUAUUUUUUUUCGUAUAAAAACAUUGAUGCUGGCCAUAUAUUAAAAUUUUAAUAAAAAGUAUUCAGGAAACAUGUA